rnacentral:rRNA from 1 species
UUGGGAAUCUUGGACAAUGGGGGAAACCCUGAUCCAGCCAUGCCGCGUGAGUGAUGAAGGCCUUCGGGUUGUAAAGCUCUUUUACCCGGGAAGAUAAUGACUGUACCGGGCGAAUAAGCCCCGGCUAACUCCGUGCCAGCAGCCGCGGUAAUACGGAGGGGGCUAGCGUUGUUCGGAAUUACUGGGCGUAAAGCGCACGUAGGCGGCUUUGUAAGUUAGAGGUGAAAGCCCGGGGCUCAACUCCGGAAUUGCCUUUAAGACUGCAUCGCUAGAAUUGUGGAGAGGUGAGUGGAAUUCCGAGUGUAGAGGUGAAAUUCGUAGAUAUUCGGAAGAACACCAGUGGCGAAGGCGACUCACUGGACACAUAUUGACGCUGAGGUGCGAAAGCGUGGGGAGCAAA